GACACGUGGCUUGUCCCCAGAGAAAAGAACUAGAAACGAAGAAAACGAGAGGGGCGAGAAACAACAACAACAACAACAACAAAAGGAUGCUGGGAAGUGUGUGCUUCCGCAGCGUUCUGCAAAGCAGUCCCAGGACAGGAGCACCGGGGAGGAGCCUCCUGGGCGGGCCCUGUCUGCAGACGUGGGAGCCUGAGGCCGUGCAGGAGGGGGCGGUGGGCGCGGCAGAGGUGGGCAUGGCAGAGGUAGGCAUGACAGAGGUGGGCAUGGCAGAGCCCUGGGGAUUGAAUUUCAGGCACCAUGCUUUGAAGGCAAACACUCCACCUCUGAGCUACGGCCCCCACUCUGCAAAUGCCUUCUGGAACUCUACAGCAAAGUGUUCUAGAAGAUAAGCCUCGCUUUCAGAUCGAUGCAUAGGAUACCAUCAAGUGCAUCCACCCCAGGCUCUGGAGAUUAGAGCUCCUUGAAAUCAACACUGGGCUAAAUUUAAGGGAGUUCCCCUCAAAGGAUACUAAACAACCUGGCAAAGCAGUUGGAAUUCUCAAAAGAACAACUUCUUGACAACAGAGCCCUCAACAAACAGGCACGUAGCAAGUGAAGCUGAUUUACAUGUGUGUAAUACCAUGAAUGGAGAUGGGGAGGUGCUAAGGAUGGAUGUUUAAAUAACAUCUUCAAAUUAAUCUCAAUGUUCAUGGGACUUAAGAAUAUAAGAAAAGGAGAAAGAUGGUCCAUUUAAAACACAGUGACACACCAAAAAUCAGGUGAAGAAAUGGAUGUAACUAAUCCUGACAACAGAACCAUUGUAUAGGUGAAAAGUGAGGCCAAAGCAAACUAGUUCUGGCUAGAAACCCAGACACAUUAUCUUUCUGUUUUCCAAAAGAGCAUACAAUGAGGACCUAUGACAAGACCCCAGAGCUCUCCAAAGAUGCAUGAUCUCGACUCAGACAGAAAUGCUCAAGCAAUGGUGGACUGACAGGUGCUGGAAGUGGUCUCCAUCAGUUUCUUGCUCAGCCACAUAAAUUUAGACAGGGGAAAGUCUUAAAUCUUUUGAACCCUGUCUUGACUCUCUGGCUUACUAACAAAGAGGUUAACAAGUCUCAGAGGGAAAUUUAUGUGGCUCGUGUGUAAACCAGAGAGCUCCAGGUCUACUCACGUUCACAGCUGAGGUGCAGUCAGGUUCUGGGGGAGUCCUGGAAGACGAGCCUUCCCACACUGCAUUUGUACCUUUAGGGUUUGCUGGGCCGUGGCUGUCAUCACGGGUCCCUGGGAUGUCAAGUCUGUCAGUGCAGUGCUGUCCCAGAGAAGGAAGUCUCUGCAGAAUCUGUCCCUGAAGUACGGCCUUCCUUCUCCCUCCACAAUUACUUCAUCACCGUGCCUCAGCAAUUACCUCAGUAGUCAUUAGGGUUUCAUUGUGUCCAUAGAAGUGUGUGAAAUGAGAAAGGAAACAAUAACUGAAGUUUCUAUGUCCAGACUUUCCCAUUUUCUAGAGCUGUGCAUGAGGGAACUUGGUCCUUCUCAUUCAGGUGGGACGUGGACUAGAAUCUGACAGACGACAAGUCGGACAGCUGAGGUGUGUGUAGCACGGGGAGAGCUGAGGAUCAGGCAGAACAUCUGAUAAGGUCUCACAGACGUAACAGCGUGGGAAAGGAGUUCCUGCCCUUGGAAGGACAACUACUGAGGUGGGAGAGGGUCAGAAGGGGACCCUAUUGUAGAUACAAACCCAUUUUCACAGUCAAGAAAAGGCUGUGGAGGAAGCUGAACAAAUGUACACAGAAGGCAUCUUUUGGCUGUCACUUGGUAGACAGUACUGCACCUAAGCAUGGAGCUUGUCACCCCCCUCCUCCCAUCCCUGAGAAGUGCUUGGGACAUGUUGAUGUCAACAGUGGUAUCUCAGAAGGAAGUGAACAGCUGGAUCCCAGAUCAUGACUUGAUCCAGAGCUUAGUACACAGGUCCCUUCACAUAAAAGUGGUGGGGAGUUGAUGCUUCCUUUGAUGUCCUUUUCAGAUCACUUUGUGAAUUUCCUACGAAAAUUCCUAUAAGAAGGACAAGAGGGCAGCUUUCCGAGAACCAGGAGAAGCACUGAUGUUGCUGGCUGAUCUGAUCACUCAUUUGAUCUAGACUCCUUUGAUCUUUCUGGAGCCAGGGACCAGCCUCCUCAGCACCAGAAGGAAAGCAGAUCCUGAGGAUCACAGAGCCUCUAAACUGCUCCCUGGCUUAGGCAAAGAGAGAGACUUCUGCUUCAGUGAAACCCUCUAUGGCACAGCUGAGGGGAUGGAAGAUCUUACCUCCGUGAACUCACCUGGACCUCUGUGGUGCAGACAGCCUCGGGAGCAGCUCUGGGAAGUGACACUUGCCAGGUCCUAUUUGUACUGUCAGGAUUUGUGGGGCUCUUGGCUGCCAUCAGGUAGUGCAGACUUCAAGUUUCAUGUUGUCACAGUGUCAGGGGGAAGGAAGGCCUCUGCAGGGCCCCAGUCCCUGAAGUACAGCUUCCCUCUCUCUCCACAAUUACUACAUCUGCUUUCCUCAGAAGUUAUUUCAAGCUUAAUUAGGGUUUAAUGAUUUUAAGAGGAAGGAUGUGAGAUGAGAAAAUGAACAACUAACUGAGUUUUUUUUUAACCGAGCUUCCCACAUCUCCAGACUGUUUUUCACCUUCCCAAAGAGACAAGCUAAGAUCUGGCAGGGGACCGGCUUCUGACACAUAGACUAAGUCACCUGCUUCUCUUUCUUAAAUCCCUCCUUAGACAGAAUUAGAAUAAAUGAUGCUCAGCGCUGGGGUUUCUGCUUAUUGAGCAAGUUCCAAACAUGGACCAGGAUGAGUUUAGGGUCCCUUGUUCUCCCUGUGCCCAUUGGUAGUUAAGGUGUUCACUGUAAUUGAUUGUUUCAUUCCUGCACUUUAAAUAUCAUAUGAGACUUGAAAUAUAAAUGCCUCCCCAACCUGGACCUUAUUCCAAAAACAAUGUUUACUUGUUAUAAAACUUCAAGGACACUUCUAAAACUCAAGUGUGUCCAAGAGUGGUCCUUCUGUGUACUUUGCAUUCUAGUGCCCAGGAGCCCUUCCUAUCCCAAAUGCAAAAGGAUGUAAAUAAAUGUGGAUGUAGGCUGACUGUAGAAAUGAUGGCAUCAUCAUCUUGUUCUUGAGGAGAAAGCACCACUGGGCUUCCUUGGGAGAUGAGUUUGAGUUUACUAGUCUCUCUCUCUGCCCUGUGUGGUGGUGUCUCUACACAUGUGGGUGAAGCUGCCAUAUAAUAGAAAUCAGAAAUGCUUCUGCUGUGAAUGAAACAACAGCUCUUGAGGAAACCAGGAUAUCCACCCUCUCCACUGAAUGGGAAAUUCAGGUGCACAAAAACUUAGUUGUAUACUACAUAUGUCAGGGUGGACAGAAGUUGAAAAAUAAAAUAGUUAUCUCUGGUCCAACAAGGA